UUGUCUCAAAGAUUAAGCCAUGCAUGUCUCAGUACAAGCCAAAUUAAGGUGAAACCGCGAAAGGCUCAUUAAAUCAGUUAUGGUUCCUUAGAUCGUACCCACAUUUACUUGGAUAACUGUGGUAAUUCUAGAGCUAAUACAUGCAAACAGAGCUCCGACCGGAGACGGAAGGAGCGCUUUUAUUAGAUCAAAACCAAUCGGUGGCGGGCGUUUGCGCGCUCGUCAUCGUACAUUUUGGUGACUCUGAAUAACUUUUUGCUGAUCGCACGGUCCAGCACCGGCGACGCAUCUUUCAAAUGUCUGCCUUAUCAACUGUCGAUGGUAGGUUCUGCGCCUACCAUGGUUGUAACGGGUAACGGGGAAUCAGGGUUCGAUUCCGGAGAGGGAGCCUGAGAAACGGCUACCACAUCCAAGGAAGGCAGCAGGCGCGCAAAUUACCCACUCCCGGCACGGGGAGGUAGUGACGAAAAAUAACGAUACGGGACUCAUCCGAGGCCCCGUAAUCGGAAUGAGUACACUCUAAACCCUUUAACGAGGAUCAAUUGGAGGGCAAGUCUGGUGCCAGCAGCCGCGGUAAUUCCAGCUCCAAUAGCGUAUAUUAAAGUUGUUGCGGUUAAAAAGCUCGUAGUCGAAUCUGUGUCUCGCGCCGCCGGUUCAUCGCUCGCGCGGUGUUUAACUGGCGUGUCGCGGGACGUCCUGCCGGUGGGCUUAGCCUCUUAAUUGGGGCGGCCCAACAUAAUAUCCCACCGCGGUGCUCUUCACUGAGUGUCGAGGUGGGCCGGCACGUUUACUUUGAACAAAUUAGAGUGCUUAAAGCAGGCUCAAACCUCGCCUGAAUACUGUGUGCAUGGAAUAAUGGAAUAGGACCUCGGUUCUAUUUUGUUGGUUUUCGGAACCCCGAGGUAAUGAUUAAUAGGAACGGAUGGGGGCAUUCGUAUUGCGACGUUAGAGGUGAAAUUCUUGGAUCGUCGCAAGACGAACAGAAGCGAAAGCAUUUGCCAAAAACGCUUUCAUUGAUCAAGAACGAAAGUUAGAGGUUCGAAGGCGAUCAGAUACCGCCCUAGUUCUAACCAUAAACGAUGCCAGCUAGCGAUCCGCCGACGUUCCUCCGAUGACUCGGCGGGCAGCUUCCGGGAAACCAAAGCUUUUGGGUUCCGGGGGAAGUAUGGUUGCAAAGCUGAAACUUAAAGGAAUUGACGGAAGGGCACCACCAGGAGUGGAGCCUGCGGCUUAAUUUGACUCAACACGGGAAACCUCACCAGGCCCGGACACCGGAAGGAUUGACAGAUUGAGAGCUCUUUCUUGAUUCGGUGGGUGGUGGUGCAUGGCCGUUCUUAGUUGGUGGAGCGAUUUGUCUGGUUAAUUCCGAUAACGAACGAGACUCUAGCCUGCUAACUAGGCGUAUUUUCGACAUCUCAAAGGCCCGCCGGCCCGCCCCGCGCACUCCGGUGUGUCGGUGACGGUGUCGCGCGCGGUUUUUACUGUCGGCGUACAAUCAAUUCUUCUUAGAGGGACAGGCGGCUUCUAGCCGCACGAGAUUGAGCAAUAACAGGUCUGUGAUGCCCUUAGAUGUUCUGGGCCGCACGCGCGCUACACUGAAGGAAUCAGCGUGUCCUCCCUGGCCGAGAGGCCCGGGUAACCCGCUGAACCUCCUUCGUGCUAGGGAUUGGGGCUUGCAAUUGUUCCCCAUGAACGAGGAAUUCCCAGUAAGCGCGAGUCAUAAGCUCGCGUUGAUUACGUCCCUGCCCUUUGUACACACCGCCCGUCGCUACUACCGAUUGAAUGAUUUAGUGAGGUCUUCGGACCGGUACGCGGUGGCGCUCCUGCGUCGCCGAUGUUGCUGGGAAGAUGACCAAACUUGAUCAUUU
rnacentral:rRNA from 1 species